rnacentral:rRNA from 1 species
UACGUAGGUGGCGAGCGUUGUCCGGAAUCACUGGGCGUAAAGGGCGCGUAGGCGGCGUUGCAAGUCGCAAGUGAAAUACCAGGGCUUAACCCUGGGGGGUCUUGCGAAACUGCAGUGCUUGAGUGCAGUAGAGGUAAGCGGAAUUCCUGGUGUAGCGGUAAAAUGCGUAGAGAUCAGGAGGAACACCGGUGGCGAAGGCGGCUUACUGGGCUGCAACUGACGCUGAGGCGCGAAAGCGUGGGGAG